GACGAACGCUGGCGGCGUGCUUAACACAUGCAAGUCGAACGAGUGGCGAACGGGUGAGUAAUACGUGAGUAACCUGCCCUCUUUUUGGGAUAAGCCUUGGAAACGGGGUCUAAUACCGGAUAAAGGGGGAUGGGCUCGCGGCCUAUCAGCUUGUUGGUGGGGUGAUGGCCUACCAAGGCGGUUACGGGUAGCCGGGCUGAGAGGGGGACGGGGGACAUGGGAGGUAAGAUACGGCACGGGGUCGUAGUGGAGGAAGGAGUGGGAGAUAUUGCACGGUGUGCGAAGGCCUGGUGCAGCGAAGACUCGUGGGGGAUGAAGGCUUUGGGGUUGUAAACCUCUUUCGCGAUAGAAAGGGUAUGUGGAGAAGAAGCGCCAGCUAACUAGGUGCCAGCAGCCGCGGUAAUUC
rnacentral:rRNA from 1 species